rnacentral:rRNA from 1 species
CCUAGGUGGGAUUAGCUAGUUGGUGAGGUAAUGGCUCACCAAGGCGACGAUCCCUAGCUGGUCUGAGAGGAUGAUCAGCCACACUGGAACUGAGACACGGUCCAGAUUCCUACGGGAGGCAGCAGUGGGGAAUAUUGCACAAUGGGCGCAAGCCUGAUGCAGCCAUGCCGCGUGUGUGAAGAAGGCCUUCGGGUUGUAAAGCACUUUCAGUCGUGAGGAAGGUAGUGUAGUUAAUAGCUGCAUUAUUUGACGUUAGCGACAGAAGAAGCACCGGCUAACUCCGUGCCAGCAGCCGCGGUAAUACGGAGGGUGCGAGCGUUAAUCGGAAUUACUGGGCGUAAAGCGCAUGCAGGUGGUUUGUUAAGUCAGAUGUGAAAGCCCGGGGCUCAACCUCGGAAUAGCAUUUGAAACUGGCAGACUAGAGUACUGUAGAGGGGGGUAGAAUUUCAGGUGUAGCGGUGAAAUGCGUAGAGAUCUGAAGGAAUACCGGUGGCGAAGGCGGCCCCCUGGACAGAUACUGACACUCAGAUGCGAAAGCGUGGGGAGCAAACAGGAUUAGAUACCCUGGUAGUCCACGCCGUAAACGAUGUCUACUUGGAGGUUGUGGCCUUGAGCCGUGGCUUUCGGAGCUAACGCGUUAAGUAGACCGCCUGGGGAGUACGGUCGCAAGAUUAAAACUCAAAUGAAUUGACGGGGGCCCGCACAAGCGGUGGAGCAUGUGGUUUAAUUCGAUGCAACGCGAAGAACCUUACCUACUCUUGACAUCCAGAGAACUUUCCAGAGAUGGAUUGGUGCCUUCGGGAACUCUGAGACAGGUGCUGCAUGGCUGUCGUCAGCUCGUGUUGUGAAAUGUUGGGUUAAGUCCCGCAACGAGCGCAACCCUUAUCCUUGUUUGCCAGCACUUCGGGUGGGAACUCCAGGGAGACUGCCGGUGAUAAACCGGAGGAAGGUGGGGACGACGUCAAGUCAUCAUGGCCCUUACGAGUAGGGCUACACACGUGCUACAAUGGCGCAUACAGAGGGCGGCCAACUUGCGAGAGUGAGCGAAUCCCAAAAAGUGCGUCGUAGUCCGGAUCGGAGUCUGCAACUCGACUCCGUGAAGUCGGAAUCGCUAGUAAUCGUG